rnacentral:rRNA from 1 species
UGGGGAAUUUUGGACAAUGGGCGAAAGCCUGAUCCAGCAAUGCCGCGUGUGUGAAGAAGGCCUUCGGGUUGUAAAGCACUUUUGUCCGGAAAGAAAUCCUUGGCUCUAAUACAGUCGGGGGAUGACGGUACCGGAAGAAUAAGCACCGGCUAACUACGUGCCAGCAGCCGCGGUAAUACGUAGGGUGCAAGCGUUAAUCGGAAUUACUGGGCGUAAAGCGUGCGCAGGCGGUUUGCUAAGACCGAUGUGAAAUCCCCGGGCUCAACCUGGGAACUGCAUUGGUGACUGGCAGGCUAGAGUAUGGCAGAGGGGGGUAGAAUUCCACGUGUAGCAGUGAAAUGCGUAGAGAUGUGGAGGAAUACCGAUGGCGAAGGCAGCCCCCUGGGCCAAUACUGACGCUCAUGCACGAAAGCGUGGGGGAGCAAAACAGGAUUAGAUACCCUGGUAGUCCACGCCCUAAAACGAUGUCAACUAGUUGUUGGGGA